rnacentral:rRNA from 1 species
CUAAGUGAUCUAACCAUGAACAGGUUGAAGUUUAGGCGGAAACGCCUUUCGGAGGACCGAACCCGUGUAUGUGGAAAAAUACUGGGAUGAUUUGUGGUUAGGGGUGAAAGGCCAAUCAAACUUAGAGAUAGCUGGUUUUCUGCGAAAUCUAUUUAAGUAGAGCGUUAAAAGGACUUUAUUAGGGGUAGAGCUCUCGAUAAAUAAUGGGGGCCUAAUAGCCUUACUGAAUUUAUUGAAACUUCGAAUACUAAUUUAAAAGACUUUUAACAGACAGACUGUGAGUGCUAAGAUUCAUAGUCAAAAGGGAAACAGCCCAGAUUAUUGGUUAAGGCCCUUAAAAGUAAUUAAGUGAAAAAAUUGUGGAAAAAUGUUAACAGCCGAAAGGUAGGCUUAGAAGCAGCCAUCCUUUAAAGAAAGCGUAACAGCUCAUUGGUCUAGUUUUUCUGCAUUGAAAAUGAAUAGGGACUAAAAUUACUUGCCGAAACUAUAAAUUUUAAUAAAUAAAAUGGUAGCAGAACGUUCUGUAAAUUUAAGAAGUUUUAUGGUAACAUAAAAUGGAGAUAUCAGAAGUGAAAAUGUUGGUAUGAGUAACGAUAAACAAUGUGAAAAACAUUGUCGCCUUAAGUUCAAGGUUUCCAAAACAAGGCUAAUCCGUUUUGGUAUUUUACUGUUAAUCGGUCUCUAAGAAUAUAAACGAAAGUUUUAAUUUGAUGAGAUAAAAUAAAUUUUUAAGUUUUUGAAGUGACAAAAUAUGAAUAUUAUUUUUAUUUUAUGGUUUAAAUAAAAGUUGUAUAGUGUUUUCUAGAAAAAGCUUCUUAAAAUAAAUUGAACCGUACCUUAAACCGACACAGGUGAACAAGUUUAGUAAACUAAGGCGCUUGAGAGAAUUAUGUUGAAGGAACUCGGCAAAAUGACUCCGUAACUUCGGAAUAAGGAGUGACUUUAUGGGGGUAACCCUGUAGAGUUGUCACAAAAUCGGGGACAGCGACUGUUUAAUAAAAACACAGGUCUCUGCUAAUUCGUAAGAAGAUGUAUUGAGACUGACGCCUGCCCAGUGCUGCAAGAUUAAAGAAAAAGGUCUUUUGGCUUUGACCCUAACUCCCAGUAAACGGCGGCUGUAACUCUGACGGUCCUAAGGUAGCGAAAUUCCUUGGCAUUUAAUUGGUGUCCUGCAUGAAUGGCGUAACGACUGUCCCACUGUCUCCAACAUAAACUCAGUGAAAUUGAAUUUUCCGUGAAGAUGCGGAAUUCCUGCGGCUAGACGGAAAGACCCCGUGCACCUUUACUAUAGUUAUAUGUUGUGUUAAGAAUUUUUGUGUGUAGAAUAAGUGGAAGUUGUUUUACUAUAGUGUCCUCUUCUAGAUGCGUACCGCCCGCGACGCACGUUUAGAAGGAUACUUUAAAGAGUGACAGAUAAAGUAGAUUUUUGCACAAGCAAAUUAUUUAAACACCAGUUGAAAUACCACUCUCAAAAGUUUUUAGCACUAACUAUUUAAGACAGCGUAUAAUGGGUAGUUUGACUGGGGCGGUCGCCUCCUAAAGAGUAACGGAGGCGUGCAUAAAGUAAGUUUGAAUUGAACCAUUAUCAAUUUGUAAGCAUAAUAGUAUAUACCUGCUUGACUGUGAGAUUGACAAAUCAAACAGGGACGAAAGUCGGUUAUAGUGAUCCGGUGAUUCUGAGUGGAAAGAUCAUCGCUCAACGAAUAAAAGGUACGCCGGGGAUAACAGGCUAAUCAUUCUCUAGAGACCAUAUCGACGGAAUGGUUUGGCACCUCGAUGUUGGAUUAUCGCAUCCUGGAGCUGUAAGUGGUUCCAAGGGUUUAGCUGUUCGCUAAGGAAGGCGGUACAUGAUCUGAGUUUAGAACGUCGUGAGACAGUUUGGUCCCU